GGUGAAAUUCUUGGACCGUCGCAAGACGGACGGAAGCGAAAGCAUUUGCCAAAAAUGUUUUCAUUAAUCAAGAACGAAAGUCAGAGGUUCGAAGGCGAUCAGAUACCGCCCUAGUUCUGACCAUAAACGAUGCCAGCUAGCGAUCCGCCGACGUUCCUCCGAUGACUCGGCGGGCAGCAUCCGGGAAACCAAAGCUUUUGGGUUCCGGGGGAAGUAUGGUUGCAAAGCUGAAACUUAAAGGAAUUGACGGAAGGGCACCACCAGGAGUGGAGCCUGCGGCUUAAUUUGACUCAACACUGGAAACCUCACCAGGCCCGGACACCGGAAGGAUUGACAGAUUGAGAGCUCUUUCUUGAUUCGGUGGGUGGUGGUGCAUGGCCGUUCUUAGUUGGUGGAGCGAUUUGUCUGGUUAAUUCCGAUAACGAACGAGACUCUAGCCUGCUAACUAGGCGUUACUUUCCGGCAUCUCGAAGGCUCGCGUCUCCCGUUCGCCGGUGCGGUUCGGUGUCGCGUCGCGGCGUUUCGGCGCUUGCGCGCGCCCGUGCCGUCCGGUCGGGUGUUCGCGGUUUUUACUGCCGGCGUACACAUGAAUCUUCUUAGAGGGACAGGCGGCUCCUAGCCGCACGAGAUUGAGCAAUAACAGGUCUGUGAUGCCCUUAGAUGUUGUGGGCCGCACGCGCGCUACACUGAAGGAAUCAGCGUGUCCUCCCUGGCCGAGCGGUCCGGGUAACCCGCUGAACCUCCUUCGUGCUAGGGAUUGGGGCUUGCAAUUGUUCCCCAUGAACGAGGAAUUCCCAGUAAGCGCGAGUCAUAAGCUCGCGUUGAUUACGUCCCUGCCCUUUGUACACACCGCCCGUCGCUACUACCGAUUGAAUGAUUUAGUGAGGUCUUCGGACCGGUACGCGGCGAGGUUUCGACGUCGCCGAUGUCGCUGGGAAGAUGACCAAACUUGAUCAUUU
rnacentral:rRNA from 1 species